GACGAACGCUGGCGGCGUGCUUAACACAUGCAAGUCGAACGGAAAGGCCCUGCUUUUGUGGGGUGCUCGAGUGGCGAACGGGUGAGUAACACGUGAGUAACCUGCCCUUGACUUUGGGAUAACUUCAGGAAACUGGGGCUAAUACCGGAUAGGAGCUCCUGCUGCAUGGUGGGGGUUGGAAAGUUUCGGCGGUUGGGGAUGGACUCGCGGCUUAUCAGCUUGUUGGUGGGGUAGUGGCUUACCAAGGCUUUGACGGGUAGCCGGCCUGAGAGGGUGACCGGCCACAUUGGGACUGAGAUACGGCCCAGACUCCUACGGGAGGCAGCAGUGGGGAAUAUUGCACAAUGGGCGGAAGCCUGAUGCAGCAACGCCGCGUGCGGGAUGACGGCCUUCGGGUUGUAAACCGCUUUCGCCUGUGACGAAGCGUGAGUGACGGUAAUGGGUAAAGAAGCACCGGCUAACUACGUGCCAGCAGCCGCGGUGAUACGUAGGGUACGAGCGUUGUCCGGAUUUAUUGGGCGUAAAGGGCUCGUAGGUGGUCGAUCGCGUCGGAAGUGUAAUCUUGGGACUUAACCCUGAGCGUGCUUUCGAUACGGGUUGACUUGAGGAAGGUAGGGGAGAAUGGAAUUCCUGGUGGAGCGGUGGAAUGCGCAGAUAUCAGGAGGAACACCAGUGGCGAAGGCGGUUCUCUGGGCCUUUCCUGACGCUGAGGAGCGAAAGCGUGGGGAGCGAACAGGCUUAGAUACCCUGGUAGUCCACGCUGUAAACGGUGGGUACUAGGUGUGGGGUCCAUUCCACGGGUUCCGUGCCGUAGCUAACGCUUUAAGUACCCCGCCUGGGGAGUACGGCCGCAAGGCUAAAACUCAAAGGAAUUGACGGGGCCCCGCACAAGCGGCGGAGCAUGCGGAUUAAUUCGAUGCAACGCGUAGAACCUUACCUGGGUUUGACAUGGAUCGGGAGCGCUCAGAGAUGGGUGUGCCUCUUUUGGGGUCGGUUCACAGGUGGUGCAUGGCUGUCGUCAGCUCGUGUCGUGAGAUGUUGGGUUAAGUCCCGCAACGAGCGCAACCCUUGUUCACUGUUGCCAGCACGUUAUGGUGGGGACUCAGUGGAGACCGCCGGGGUCAACUCGGAGGAAGGUGGGGAUGACGUCAAGUCAUCAUGCCCCUUAUGUCCAGGGCUUCACGCAUGCUACAAUGGCUGGUACAGAGAGUGGCGAGCCUGUGAGGGUGAGCGAAUCUCGGAAAGCCGGUCUCAGUUCGGAUUGGGGUCUGCAACUCGACCUCAUGAAGUCGGAGUCGCUAGUAAUCGCAGAUCAGCAACGCUGCGGUGAAUACGUUCCCGGGGCU
rnacentral:rRNA from 1 species